rnacentral:rRNA from 1 species
CACCUCCAUACGAAGCGCGGGUACAUGCCCGGCGGGGAGAGUGGCUUACGUGAGUAAUAUAUCUCAACAUGUGCCCUGUAGGGGGAGAUACCCCGGAAAACCCCAUUUAUACCCCAUACACUCUCUAGAGAAGAACGCGGGAUCUCUUCACCUCUCGCUCUUGUGGGGGGCGAUAUGGGAUUAUAUCUAUGUGGGGGUAAAAGCCUCUACCAGCGACAAUAUCCAUAUGUGGUCAGAGAAGACCACCCCCCACUGUGACUCUGACACACCCCCCACACUCCUACGAGAGGCAGCAGUGGAUAUUUUUGUACACUAGUGGGAAGAACCGUCGGUAACGUCGCAAAUGCGCCGAGUGUGAGACAAGGACGGCCUCUCCGGGUGAGAAAAAACAUCUUUGUCCAAAAAAAAAUCAUGGGGUCUAAUAUCAACCUUGAUCACUCUCCGGAGGGAUGACGGCCCCAGAAAAACAAGACACCGUCUAGCUACGUGCCAUACACCCGCAGUAAUAGUACAUGGGAGGGUGAUGAGCGAUUAGCGGGAUGCAAUUUUAGUGCGUAAAAAGCGCGAGCGCGCGGAUAUGAAACUGACAUAGGAAAUCUCCGCAGGUCUAACGCGUGAAGCUGCAUUCGUGGACAGUGGCGCUAGUAGAGUAUGGCAGAGGCAGGGUAGAAAUCUCCACAUGUAGCAGUGAAGUGCAUAGAUGAUGUAGAAGAGAUAGACGAUCGCGAACGCAGUCCGCCUCUGCGACUAUAGUGACUCGGUCGUGCAAGAUGCGCGUGCGGAGCAAGCACAAGAGUGUAGAUACCCUGUGAUACUACACGCCAUACGAUGGAUGUUAACUAGUGUGUCGUCGCAUUCACGUGACUAGAUCACAGGUAGCUAACACGUGAGAUGUCGACCGCUUGAGGGAGUGCAGUGUCGCAAGAUUACUAAAUCUCAGAAAGAAUCGACGACGACGCCCCACAAGCGCUGGAUGAUGAUGUGUAUUAUUCUGAUGCAACGCGAACAACUCUUAUCCUACCCCCCAGACAUCUACAGAAUCCUGCUGAGAGGAUGGGAGUGCCCGAAGAGGGCCCAGUAACACAGGUGGCUGCAUGGCGUCUGUCGUCAUCAUCUGUCUCGUGAUAUGUUGGGUAUAAGUCCAGCCACGAGCACACCCCUUCUGCCUCAUUGUCGAUACGCAAGCGCACCCUAGAGAGACUGCCGCGGUCACAAACCAGAAGGAGGGGAGGAUGAUCUAAAGUCCUCAUGCCCCUUGGGGGUAGGGUUUCCCAUGUCAUACAAUUGUUGGAACAGAGGGUUGGCAAGCCGCGAGGGGGAGCCAAUUCCAGAAAACCGAUUGUAGUUCGGAUUCCAGUUUGCAAUUUGAUUGGGUGGAAUGGGAAUUCUUUGUAAUUCGGGAUCACCAUGCCCGGGUGAAUAUUUCCCCGUUUUUACCCCCCCCCCCUCCCCCCCAUGGAUUGGGUUGAGAUCUCCACUUCCUAACCCCAAGGGGGCCCGCCCCCACGGUAGGAUCCCUGGUGUAGGUCAGUA